GACGAACCGUGCGAACGUUGUUCGGAAUCACUGGGCUUAAAGGGCGCGUAGGCGGCCCGCCAAGUCCGGGGUGAAAUACUCCAGCUUAACUGGAGAAGUGCUUGGAAACUGCGGGCUCGAGCGAGGUAGGGGUGAUGGGAACUUCCGGUGGAGCGGUGAAAUGCGUUGAUAUCGGAAGGAACGCCGGUGGCGAAAGACGCAUCACUGGACCUCUUCUGACGCUGAGGCGCGAAAGCCAGGGGAGCAAACGGG
rnacentral:rRNA from 1 species